rnacentral:tmRNA from 1 species
GGGGCUGAACGGUUUCGACUUCGCGCAUCGAUUCAAGGGAAGCGUGCCGGUGCAGACAACUGACCACCGUAAGCGUCGUUGUAACCAAUUAAGCGCCGAUUCCAAUCAGCGCGACUACGCUCUCGCUGCCUAAGCGACAGCUGGUCCGUCAGCCCGGGAAAGCCCUCGACCCGGAUCCUGGCGUCAUCUAGAGGGAUCAACCGAGAAGUCCGGUCGCGGGACUGCUCGGGACACCAAACAGCGACUGGGAUCGUCAUCCUGACUUGUUCGCGUGAUCAGGAGAUCCGAGUAGAGACAUAGCGAACUGCGCACGGAGAAGCCUUGAGGGAAUGCCGUAGGACCCGGGUUCGAUUCCCGGCAGCUCCACCG